UCCUAAUACAUGCAAGUCGAGCGGAGAUUUGAAAAGCUUGCUUUUCAAAUCUUAGCGGCGGACGGGUGAGUAACACGUGGGCAACCUGCCCUUGAGACGGGGAUAACUCCGGGAAACCGGAGCUAAUACCGGAUAACACAUAUCUUCGCAUGAUGAUAUGUUAGAAGGUGGCUUUUCGCUACCACUCAAGGAUGGGCCCGCGGCGCAUUAGCUAGUUGGUGAGGUAACGGCUCACCAAGGCGACGAUGCGUAGCCGACCUGAGAGGGUGAUCGGCCACACUGGGACUGAGACACGGCCCAGACUCCUACGGGAGGCAGCAGUAGGGAAUCUUCCGCAAUGGACGAAAGUCUGACGGAGCAACGCCGCGUGAGUGAUGAAGGUUUUCGGAUCGUAAAGCUCUGUUGUUAGGGAAGAACAAGUACCUGUUGAAUAAGCAGGUACCUUGACGGUACCUAACCAGAAAGCCACGGCUAACUACGUGCCAGCAGCCGCGGUAAUACGUAGGUGGCAAGCGUUGUCCGGAAUUAUUGGGCGUAAAGCGCGCGCAGGCGGUUCCUUAAGUCUGAUGUGAAAGCCCACGGCUCAACCGUGGAGGGUCAUUGGAAACUGGGGAACUUGAGUGCAGAAGAGGAGAGCGGAAUUCCACGUGUAGCGUA
rnacentral:rRNA from 1 species